GAAUAGUUUAUUACGUGGAUUUGCUGUAUAGAAAUGUCUCUUCAUGCUCUGCCUGUUCAUAAAAGGAUAUGAGCAACAAUCUGCCUCAGCUGCAAUGACUUAAAUCUUCUUAUUCAGAAUCAGAGAGAGCUUCAAAUUUCUUCUCCAGAUAAUGACAAAUCUAACACUUUACUUCCAGGGAAAUCAGGUCUGGGAUGUACAGACCAACCUGAAGAAUCAUCUUGGCUGUCUAUAUAAAAUCCUUUAAUAAGCACUGUCCAAAACUUCUGGCUACUAGUGAGACAACCUGUCCCUCCCACCGUUGCCUCACACGAGGAGCUACAGUGAUAACCACCAACAGCACAGCUGUAGCUUUGUUCCAUGCCGAUACCCAAGACUGAUGUGUCAACUGCCUAAUGGAUGGAGAAAGGGGCAGAAAGGGCCUUGGCCUGCUUUAAAGAGGAUAAAGAGGGAACAGUCCAAGUUUGGAGGGGAAAUCCUCUAUCACAGUUAUAAACCAGCAUGAAGACAGUGUUGGACACGGUAAGUGCCUUUCAUUCUAUAGGCUAAUGCUUAGGGCACUCGAUUGGUAAAGACCUUGUUCAAGAUGCAUGCUCCAUGGGGAUACAUGAAUGUAGGACACCACCACUGAAUUAAAAACAAACAAACAAAAAACAAAAACUCAAACAAACAAAAAGCCACCACAAAUAACAACAACAAAGCAAACCAACCAACCAACCAACCAACCAACACAAACGAAAAACUCCACAAACAAGUAGAGACAAGUAGGUUUUCCACUCUCAUAUCAGUUUUUACUCCCCAGGCUAAAAGGCUGGGAUAUUUCUUCUCUAUUGUCCUUCUAGCCUUCUAACCAUUGCAUUUUUAGAUAUAGCUAAGAUUUUCUUGAGUCAGAACCAUACAUUUAAGUUCAUAGUGUUUCUUCUGUUU